GGGGAUGGCGGACAAGCCUCACUGGUAUAGCACCUGCCUUGCACGCAGAAGGCCCUAGGUUCAAACUCUAGCAUCACCA